UUCUGUCAUUUUUUUCCGAUUACUCUGUUAGACUGAAGAGCUGAGCAUUCAGUCUGAGCAUUCCCUGACCCUGGUAAGGAGUUUGCCUACUGUAGUCAGACCACUGCUUGAUCUUUUUUUUCUUUUUGGACAAGCUCUUUUGCUCGUAAGUCCUCAUGAGGCAUUUGGAUUUGGGUUUUCUUGGGGUGCUAUUGGGUGUUGAGCUAUCAGAAUCUCCAGGUGAUGCUGAUCAGCUCCAAGAGCACUAUUUUGUGUGUGAAGCCAGGACUGGUUUUCCCCAUCUGCAUCACUUUGUACCUCUCUGCCAUUUUAUUGCUCCACGACUGAGUCGUGUAAGACCUUUCUAUGGUUCUUUGCUACCUGCCCUUCUCUUUGUGUCAGUAAUCUUGUAGGAUUUGCAAGCUUUCUCACCUCGCUGCUCAUCCGCCUUUCCCUGUCACGUCACACUGUUUUUCUCUUUAACUGCUUGUUGGGCUUACUAGAAAAGCAGAAAGCCUACUACUGGAGUGAGUGCCUAUUUUCAUUUUUUAAAUGAGACUUUGAAACAUAAGUACAGAUUAAGGGUAUCUAUCUCGUUGGCUAGAGGGAGGUACUAAAACCCUGCUUUCUAAUGAAAUACUUGAUUAGCCAUUUACACGAUUGCUUCCUUUUUGUGACUUUUGGUAAACUCAGUUCUUACCUGUUUGACUUAUUUUUUGAACUGGAGCCAAGUGUGUUCACCAUACGAGUAAAGCAAAGCACGGAUUUGAAACGGGGCACCUGUGGGAUCUAACCUUGAACAAGGAACCGGUCAGGCUGAGGGUGCGGUGCAGCUACUGCAGCAGCUGGACCAAAUGGUGAACAAAGGAAAUGUGGAGUCAGAAGGAAGAGGUCUCUCCAGGUUCUGGAGAAGGUACGAAUACUGCAGCUACGAGCAGAUGCAGUCCUGGCUCUGUCCGAGCCUGUGCCUGAUUCUGGCAGUUCAGGUGAUUCUACGUUCUCUUGAAGAAUGGGUACCUCUUUUCUGUGGUUAAACCAAAGUCUGCCAAGGCAAAGGAGCGUUCAGGCGUGUCCUUUUGUCUUGUGGUAAGGUGCAACAUUCCCAGGAAGUGUUCCUCUUCUGAGCUGUCUUUGGGGAAAAAACUCCUCACGGGAGGGUUACUGACCUCAGUCACAGACCUCAUAGGAUGUGGCUUUUAUCAGCUGAGGAGUGCCAUCUCCAGCCCAGUUUCUAAAGGAGUUUUACACACUCCCCCUUCUCGCGGGGCCUUCCUGGGAGGGACCUUCAGUCCCCUUAAGGCAAGUAUGGCCUUUAUUUGGCCGCUUAGCAACUGUGGCCUUUGUAACUUUGACUCCCAAAGACACCAUUUUAAACCGAAAUGAAAGUAGUCCCGCCAACAGUGGCUGGGCAUUGCUGACUAAAGGAGUGCUCUAAAGCUGUCGAAACAAGAGUGGUCUGUUCACUGCGCAGCACGUGUUGAACGUCGGCAGUAACUGUUUGUUUGAUAGGUGGGUUAGUUUUGGAAGGAAUAAAACUCCUUGUUAAUCAUAAUGUAUGCCAGUCCCCUUAACUAUUGAGACUAGACCGUUACGGCACAGGUUGUUCUUUACGUUUCCUCUAUUUUUUUGGUCUUCCUCUGUAUUAUUUUGUGCUGGGGAUGUGUCUUUCUGGUGGACAGAAAUUACCUUGUUGUUACAAUUCUCAGAGAAGUAUUUGAGGUACAAUGUGGGGUUUUUUUGUUGUUGUUGUUUCCCCAGCAUAAUCUUCUUGCCACUACAGCAUCUCUUUGUUGGAAAGAACUGACCUGGAAGUACUAAUGGUUGUGGAAAGGUAAACUUGUAGCGUGAAUGUCGGGUUGUAUUGUUUCUUUUGUAAUUCAGCUUUUCACAUUGCUUGUCUCCACUAUUAAAUGCUUUACAAUGAAA